CAAUAGCGUAUAUUAAAGUUGUUGCAGUUAAAAAGCUCGUAGUUGGACCUUGGACCUGGACAGGCGGUCCGCCUCACGGCGUGUACUGUCUUGCUGGGUCUUUCCUCUUGGUGAUCUGUUGUUUCGGCAGCAGGGAACCAGGACUUUUACUUUGAAAAAAUUAGAGUGUUCAAAGCAGGCUCGACGCCGGAAUAUAUUAGCAUGGAAUAAUAAAAUAGGACGUGCGGUUCUAUUUUGUUGGUUUUUGGAAUCGCCGUAAUGAUUAAUAGGGACAGUCGGGGGCAUUGGUACUCACAUGCUAGAGGUGAAAUUCUUGGAUUUUGUGAAGACUAACUUCUGCGAAAGCAUUUGCCAAGGAUGUUUUCAUUAA
rnacentral:rRNA from 1 species